rnacentral:misc_RNA from 1 species
UUUCCGUAGGUGAACCUGCGGAAGGAUCAUUAUCAUGUAAUUCAGUCCCCUUGGCUGUGUUAUAUAUAUACCCACUCUGUGUACCUUCUCCUGUUGCUUCCGCUGGGUGUGUAAUUCGCCCGGCGGAAGGGUAAAAAUAACCUCUGAGUAUUGAUGAAAUCUCUGUCUGAACCGAAUAGAAAGAAAAAUGUUAAAACUUUCAGCAACGGAUCUCUUGGUUCUCACAUCGAUGAAGAACGCAGC